rnacentral:rRNA from 1 species
UACGUAGGGUGCAAGCGUUAAUCGGAAUUACUGGGCGUAAAGCGUGCGCAGGCGGUUGUGCAAGACAGAUGUGAAAUCCCCGGGCUUAACCUGGGAACUGCAUUUGUGACUGCACGGCUAGAGUGCGGCAGAGGGGGAUGGAAUUCCGCGUGUAGCAGUGAAAUGCGUAGAUAUGCGGAGGAACACCGAUAGCGAAGGCAAUCCCCUGGGCCUGCACUGACGCUCAUGCACGAAAGCGUGGGGAGCAAACAGG